UGGGAGAAAAAAGGCAGAGUCAGUGAGAAGCCAUGUAGCCGCCACCAGGACAGACCCCUGCACUGGAGCCCGCUGAUACUUUGCAGAAAAGAAAAGGAACACACAUCGAGAAUAACAAAUGGAACAUUCGAUAAGACUUUCAGACAGGCACUCGACACGCUGCAAUUAAUCAGAACACGGUUCCCGUCAUCAUGGAUCUAUACACAAAGCAUGCCCAUUUAACAAAUGCUUACUAUGCUAAUCAUAAAUCCAUCCUUCUUCAAUAUCCGGCCUCCAUUUCCACCAGAGCAACACUGAAAACCGAUCUUCUUGUAUUACUGGAUCCCACCCACCCUGAUAUGAACGAAACCAGGCACAGGGCAAAUGCGGCCAAAGUCUUAGGAUAUAAAGGAAAUGAUCAGUAAAAGAUAUUGAAGAUUCAUUGAAACUAAAUUGUAGUUUGCCAUCAUGAGAAGAUAAAGCACCACUUUGGACCUAUGGCUGCCCACACUCACUCGCCCCAUCUAAAGCCAGACAGAGCCUGCUCACAGGAUUCUUCCUACUAACAUGCUUUAGAAACUAAGAGUGGGCUUUAUGUAAAGACCACAGAAAGCAGUAAGACUUCGAUGCCUUUUCUGAUCUCACAAACGUUUGGCCCCUCAACAGCAUACAAGGGAGGAUGCUGAGUUUCCAGCAGGUUGCACGAUUGCACUCUGAGGGUGAGGUCCUAAGGAGGAGGUGACCAUCUGCCAUAUAGUCUGAAUGUCCCCACCAGGACGUCACAUUGACAUUUAAUGCUCAGUCUGAAGGAUUAGGAGGUAGGGCCGCUAAGAGGAGACUGAGCCACAAGGACCCUGUCCUCCUGGGUGGAUAAAUCCACAGGCAGAUGGCUUACUGAGAGCUGCUUACUCCAGUCACCAUACCUCGGGGCACUGCAGAGUCCCUAUCAGCAAGGGGGUUCUCACCAUGUGUGCCCAACCCACCCCCAACUCCGGCUACCUCAACCUUCAGAACCAUUUUUUUUAAACAUUAUUUUUAAAAUAAUUUAUUUUUACUUUAUGAGCAUUGGUGUUUUGCCUACAUGUA